rnacentral:tRNA from 1 species
GGGGCGGUGGUCUAGUGGCGUAUGGCGCUCUCUCUCUUGAAGGGAGAGAGAGGUCGGUGGUUCGAAUCCAUCCCGCUCCA